UUUCCGUAGGUGAACCUGCGGAAGGAUCAUUAAUGAGUUGUCAUGGGGUUCGAUGCUGGCAGCCAAUUUUUGGAUGCAUGUGCUUGCCCUAACAAUCAUCUUCCAAACACCUGUGCACAUUUUUGAGGGAGUCUUGAGUUGUUUGCCGCUCUUGGGUGAUUUUCUCACAUUCCCUUAAAUCAUUAUACGCUAUUAACAAUGUUGAACGUGCUCUGUGCCGCAAGGCUAUUAAUAUAAUACAACUUUUAACAACGGAUCUCUUGGCUCUC
rnacentral:misc_RNA from 1 species